rnacentral:rRNA from 1 species
AUUGAACGCUGGCGGCAUGCCUUACACAUGCAAGUCGAACGGCAGCACGGGUGCUUGCACCUGGUGGCGAGUGGCGAACGGGUGAGUAAUACAUCGGAACAUGUCCUGUAGUGGGGGAUAGCCCGGCGAAAGCCGGAUUAAUACCGCAUACGAUCUACGGAUGAAAGCGGGGGACCUUCGGGCCUCGCGCUAUAGGGUUGGCCGAUGGCUGAUUAGCUAGUUGGUGGGGUAAAGGCCUACCAAGGCGACGAUCAGUAGCUGGUCUGAGAGGACGACCAGCCACACUGGGACUGAGACACGGCCCAGACUCCUACGGGAGGCAGCAGUGGGGAAUUUUGGACAAUGGGCGAAAGCCUGAUCCAGCAAUGCCGCGUGUGUGAAGAAGGCCUUCGGGUUGUAAAGCACUUUUGUCCGGAAAGAAAUCCUUGGCCCUAAUACGGUCGGGGGAUGACGGUACCGGAAGAAUAAGCCCCGGCUAACUACGUG